rnacentral:lncRNA from 1 species
GUGUGAAAAAUGUGAAAAAAAUAUGCAAAUACUCGUAAUCGCAUCCUCUACGCUUUGAGGAUGGGUACGUCGUCGUUUGAAUUUUUAAAACCAUACAAACCCUCAUGAAUAGUAUUUUUAAGGGAGUUCAAAAUAAAUAAAAUUCAUAAUUAUUAAUGUAUAAGUCUGAAAAAUGUGAAAACAUAUAUAAAGGCUCGUGAUUGCAUCUUCUACACUUAGGCGAUGGUUACAUGGUUGUAUCUUCUAUGCUUAGACGAUGGUUAUAUUGUCACACCCCGCCCCAAAAUAUAUUUAUUUCGGGAGUUAAUUUCAAUGAUAGGCCCAAUUUAGAAUCAUGGUUAAUUUAUUACCAUUACUUACAUUUCUUUACUUCGAACAAUUUAGUUCCGUACAAAACUAUCCAUGUUUUUCUAAAUGUCAAAACAUAUCUUUAAAGUAAUGAUUUAAUACACUAACAUUAGUCAUCAUUCUCCAUAUAUUUUCAUUCAUCCCACGUCUAAUCCAUAACCAUUAUUCAUUUACCAAAACAUACAAUUUCACUUCCAAUUUAGAACCAUUUCCCUCGCUUAGAUCAAAAUUUCCCUCUCAAUAUUAGUUCUCGAAUAUUUAAGACUACAUCCAAACUCUAUUAGACUGCCUACGUACCCUUGAGCGGGAUCAAGCCUUUUGUAGUUCACAUUUCCAAAAUUCAAACCGAAUAUAUUCAAUUAAUCCAAUAUAUACCACAAUUGUGUUAAUAUUCAAACCACAACAAAUAGAUCUCAAAAGCAUAAUUAGAAUAACGAAACUCACAUAAAAACACAAUUUCUGCUCCCUGGCCGUGCGCCACCGCACGUGCCGCCGCGGGUGACAGUCGGUCGCCCCGACUCACCAGAAAAUUUAACUAUUUCUAAAAAUUCUCAAAAAUUAUAGAAAUGAAGAUCUCAAAGAGUAAAGCAAACUUUAUACUUAUGGCCAAGUCCAAUUUGGCCGGGCCAAGUCCAAUUUGGCUGGGAAAAGCUCCAAUUUUACUAAAACCCGUUGGAACCCUAGAAAAAUGGUGUUUUCAAUUCGACUCCAAAACCGUUCCAACGCCUCAACCAAUAAUUGGGCUUUGUUCCAGUGCUCAAGAAGAGUCUAAUGGUGGAGGAAAUUGAUCGGAUUUCUUUCAGAAUUUUUCCCCAACAGUCCCACGGCACCAUCGUUGCCAUACCCCAUGAAAAGGACACCCUUGCUUCGAAUCUAUGGGUGAUUAACUAAGGAGGAGGAGCAUGAUGAUGUUUGCAGGUGAGGGAAGUCCCAAUUCACCGGGGAAAAUAGUGAAUAUUGCACCGGAAUCAACUCGAUGUGACCGGUUUUGGAAACAGAUCACGGGUUGGAGAUGGGUCAAGGGAAAAUGAGGUUUGGUUGAGUGCCUCUCCACUCCCUCCUUUCCCUCCCUGUUCUCCUUCCUGAUUCGCCCUCCUCUUCCUCAUUUUCCUCCUGCAACUCUCUUCCUUCUCCCCCCUCCUUCUCCCUUCAUUUUUUUCUUUCUUUUUAUUCUUUUAUUUUUAUUUUUUCCUUCCCUCUUUUCCACGACAAGCUCCCAAAAUUAUGGAGCUUUCUAGAUUCAUAGUAAAAUGACCACUUUGCCCCUAUGCUCGUCCGUUUCUAUUUUAUUCGUUAUAAUUCCGCUUGACGAAUGGUUUUCGCCUACACACUCAUAGAAUCAAAUUCUAUCAAAUUAUGCUAAGAAAUACGACAAGAUAUAUUAGAAUACAUCCUCGUAUAUCUACAUUAUACCACUAGGGCAUUUUUUUUCCUUUUCCCACGUAUCGAUAAAAUUUACAACGUAAAUUAUAAUAAUUUCAAGAAAUAAAAACUUUAAAAUUCCCAAUUCUAUUUUCAUAACCAUAAAUCGAUUUAUUUUCGAUUUUCUCCACAUAUUCAUAAUUAUAUUAUCUAAUUCAUAUCUUUAAAUUUUUCAAGGUAUUACAUAUAUGGUCGUUUAAAUUUUUAAAACCAUCCAAAUCUCAUGAAUAGUGUUUUUAUUUUAGUGAAAAAUUAAUAAUAAUUAUUGUAGAAGUGUGAAAAUGUAAAAAAAAAAAAUAUACAAUCACUCAUAAUGACAAGUUUUAUAACUUGUGGGAAGGGGUCAACUCCGAAAUCUGACACCAUAAUUCAUAAACCUUAGAUUUAAAUUGAACCGUCCAUUGUUAUUUAGACUUUAUUCUACUCACCAAAUUUCAUUUUUUAGAUUUUCUUUUUUGAAAAGUGGUCUUUUAGUGGAUUAGAAAAAUGAACGGUUCGGAUCGUUAAUACGACAUUCCGAUAUUUACGGUUAACUAAAAAUAUGAGUUGAUGUUAUAUAGUUUCUAGAGACUUUAUAAACUUUGAGCUAUAUUUUCACUAAUGGUAACGCUCUAAACGUAAUAUCGACGAUCUGAACUGUUCAUCUUCCUGCAUUCUCUAAGAGAUCAUGUUUUCAAAAAAGAAAAUCCGAAAAGAAAAAAAAAAUUGGUGAGAAGAAUGGAACGUAAAUAUAAACGACAAUCAACGGUUAAAUUUAGAUCUAUAGUUUAUGGAUUAUGGAAAAUCUUAGUGAAUACAUCAUCAACAUAACGCUUGAAAACAAUAUAUCAAACCAAAGUUCCAAUACCAUUUCCCUUGGUGAUUGAUGAAAAUUGAAGGGUUUUAUUGUCAAAAACAUGCAAGGUUCCUCAACCUUGAAACGCAACUCUCUUCAUUUUGCAUAUCUUUGAACAUUUGUAUUUUAUAGCAUGCACUAAUGUUUUUUCAUUAGACUCUUAUUUUGGAGUAUGUAAACUUGAAAGACAAAUGUUUUUUUUUUUAAUUAUGUUUUGAAGUAAUAUUUAUGUAACAAUGUGGUAUGUAUAUACUAAUUUAGUAUUAUGUUUUACAUAUUUUUGGAUCAAAUUAUGUUUUUCAUUUUCAUUAUUUAUUGAUUUAAAUAUAUUUUUCUUAAUGGGUAACAAGUUGAGUCAUAUUACCUAAUAAUAUUAACAGGUCGGGUCAUAUUACCCGUUUAUUUUAACGAGGGUUACACGACAUGACUUGUUAAACUAUCGGGUAUGACACGAACAUGAAACAUAUGACACGAAUGCCAGGCAAUUUAUAAGAGUGGAAUAUGUAAAAUUGGUGGGACCACCAAAAUAUGGAGAAUGCUUUCAUGUGAACAGUCAAAUGAUACAUCUGUUCCGAUUGUUUAACGCAUCUCUAAGAGAAUAUGCAAAUCAAGUUGGCAAAAUUGUAUUACAUGAAAUGUAGCAUGUUACUUCUUUGGGGGAGUGAUAUAAUUUGCUAACUCCUUUGCUUAUUCCCUUUGUGCAAGUUUUUGCCUAUCUGGCUGGGAAAACCAUGUUUGCCUACCCUUUUGCAUGCUCUCUUCAUAUGCUUUUUAUACAAUAUAUUCUUCAUCCGUUGAAUACCUCUCACAAAGAUAUGAAGUGAGACUUACCUUCACGCUUAUGUAUGCUACUACCGCAUCCAUAGAAAUUAAAAUCCAAUUAAACUACAUUAUUGGUUUGAAAUGUUACAUUGGCGCACAAAAGUUGGAAGUAGGUGCUAAAAAAGCAUGAGACUUUUGUAUUUUGGUCUUAUCCGAUGCCAUACUAACCAUGCAUAGUGUAAAAAAUUAACUCAAAUUUGAAAGCCCUACAAAAAAAACUUCCUCAUAUAUUGGGUCUCAAUAAGAAAAUCCAAUCUAAAUCCAAUCGUUUGUUUAAAAUAAAAAUAAAACAACAUGAUUUUUUUUAUUAGAGUAAACUUGAUAUAAGUUCUUAUUAAGUUUAGUUCACUUUGUUACGUUAGUUCAUUCACUGAUUACUAACAUCACCUUCUUUUUAUUAUCUUUUUUUUAUUAAAAUGAACUACUAUUAGCACUCUAAAAAUCUCAUUAAUGUAUUUUCUUUUCUAAUUAUAGAAAGUUUGGAAUGCAAAUGAGAUUUUUGGAAAGCCAAUAACAAUUCCCUAAUUAAAUUGUGAUACAUGUUAUCUCUUCUCCUCUUAUUUAUAGGAUUAUCUUUUACUUAAUUUUAGAAUUAAAUAUUGUAUCUCAUUCUUCCUACUCCAGACCUGUAUCUCAAUUCUUUCUUUUACCUUCAUCACAAGUUAAUUGUGUUAACUAUUUCUCAACUUUUUUCUUCUACUUCCAUCACAAGUUAAUUACGAUAAUACGAUAUCAACAUAUAUAUUAGUAUGGAUUUAUAAUUGUAUGAAGAUUAAAUUUUUGUAAACUAUUUUCAUGAAUGAUAGGUAGAUUAAGUUUUAUUCAAUUUCGUCUAUUCUACCUCCAUUAUAGGUUGAACGUAUUUAAUCAACAUAUGAUGUAAGCAUCAUAUAUGUUGAUAUGCGAAUUUUCUUUUAACCAUUUUUCAGUAAACUGGUUAGAUCUUCAUAUUUAAAUAUUUCAAAUUAAACAUAUGAGUAAAAGGGCCUAAAUUAAGAAAUUUAAUUAAAUUAAAAAAAUAUGACACUAGAUUAAAUCUAAUAAAACUAAAAAUUUUAAACUUAGAUCAAACUAUUUUUUUAUUAGUAUUAUUUUGUAUUUUUCCUUUAUUGGUGAAAUAAGAAAGGGAUUUUUUAACUUGAAUCCUUUAAGAAUAUUGAAAUUUAAAAUAAACUUGGUGUUAGAUUACAUAUUGAUUACAAUCCCUUAAUGUGUCUUUAAUUCAAAAUAAUUAUUGUGCAUUUUAUUUAGGGAAUUGUUAUUAGCACUCCAAAAAUCUCAUUCUACACUCCUCACAAGUGUAUUUUUCUUUCCAAUUAUAGAAAGUUUGGAGUGCAAAAUGAGAUUUGUGGAGUGCCAAUAACAGUUCCCUUUAUUUAAUGUCUCCCAUUAAAUAUUUAAAUUUAUUAAUAUACAAAUAUUAAUUUA